UAACAAAAAGUGACUGCUUGCUUAUUGGAGACAACACAAUAAAACCAUUUGUAUAUUUUCUUUAGAUCAGGAACUGGAGGAGGGCCCCCUAAAAGGGUGCAUUACACCCGUUACGAGGAGCUGCUGAUGCCAUAUAUACACCGGGAGAGCGUGCGCGGUGUCUACGGCACGUUCGAUACAGACCGGAAUGUUGGCCAAGAUUCAGCUCCACCUGGGCCAAGCAGGCGCAGACCAACGGCAUCUGCUCCCGUUCCAGGUCGUUGCUCCUUGUCAGUGCUGGCCUCCCCACGCAGCGAUCCUGAAAUAGAAGGAGAAGGAUUUAGUGGGGAGGCAAGUGAGAGAGGG